AAGCAUUCUGGGAACUAUCAACACAGGGUAUCCAGGAAGCAGAAGCAUCAUGUUUUUUAUUAUCGGAAAAACAUACCAUUACACAACAAAAUAGCGAGGAAUUGCUGUGUUAUUAAUAGUCAUAGUUGAUGUUGCGACCGCAAAUCUUAACAAAUGAAUAAGUGUUUUAAUCAUUUUCCUACAUGGAGAAGAAACAACAUCUUUACCAAGCACUACAUCUGCAGCUGCCACGAGAGGCGACUCAUCAGAUGGAGAAGCAGACCUGUCAGGAGGAUGAUGGUGACACAAUGGACAAAAUGACCUGCUUGCAGGAGGAGAAUAGAAAGUGAAAGGAAGAGCUGAUAAGCAGAUCACUGAAACCUUCGGCUUGAAGACUGAACACUUAGCAUCGGUUGAUGGGGAAUUGGACAUAAAAGAAAGUGUUGUCCUACUGGGUGUCACUUCUGCAUUUAACAGGUGGUGCAGCCAACUUAAUACAAAAGAUGUGGAGAAACAAGGCAGCUAUCUCACGUCAUGAUGCACGUCUAGCAAGUUGUUGGGUGUUUCCAACACUUUUUAUGUACUUGGUGUGGUCCAUUUAAAGGUGAGGACAUGACUUCACUAGAUACGAUUGUGGUGUAUCCUGUGAUUUGAUUAUGUUGCGCCAGAGUCCUGUUUUGAAGCCGUCAUUAGAAUGUACACAUCAAUUAAAUGUCAUUAACUUGUAAAUGGUAAGUAGUUUUCUCUACAUAUGUCUAAAGAUUGUUCAGAAGUGAAGUGUUUUUUUUUCCCAUAUAUGAAAAAUAAAAAACACAAACUGAAUUGUAAA